rnacentral:rRNA from 1 species
AAUGAACGCUGGCGGCGCGCCUAAUACAUGCAAGUCGAGCGAGAAGACGUAGCAAUACGUUUGUAAAGCGGCGAACGGGUGAGGAAUACAUGGGUAACCUACCCUAGAGUGGGGAAUAACUAGCCGAAGGUUAGCUAAUACCGCGUACGCUCCUUGGACUUCGGUUCAGGGAGGAAAGCGAUGCCGAGGGUAUCGCGCUCUUGGAUGGGCUCAUGUCCUAUCAGCUGUUGGUGAGGUAACGGCUCACCAAGGCUUCGACGGGUAGCUGGUCUGAGAGGACGAUCAGCCACACUGGCACUGCGACACGGGCCAGACUCCUACGGGAGGCAGCAGUAAGGAAUAUUGCGCAAUGGGCGAAAGCCUGACGCAGCGACGCCGC